rnacentral:lncRNA from 1 species
CUCUUUCUCCUCCCUGCCUAACUGGUGAGGUGGGACUUCAAUGCCUUUUAGGUUUACAGUCUUUUCCUCCCCACGGCUUCUCUUUCCUCCCCGUCUCAGGCACUGGGCAUUUCCAGUCGAUCCAGCAGGUCUGGCUUCUCUCACAUAUGCAGUAAGGGUUAGGGGAGAAGGUCCCAGCUCCUCUUGUCUCUAGCAGAGUGUAAACUGGCUCUGCUGAGGAGGUGGCUGUGCUUUUAUUCCUUCUCCUGAGAACUGUUUAUAUAUUAAGGAGCUUCACAGCCUCCAACAUAAGGAAAGCAGGCCUCAAACUUCUUCAUGGGAAAAGAUGGCUUCUCUUUUUUAAUUGAAUGAACUAGAAGAAGUUCAUUGUUAUUCAUCAACUUCAAAGAGACUAUAUGAGGCCCCUUGGCCAGGACUACAGAGCAGUAUUUUUUAAUCAGAAAUUAUAGCCAAAAAGAAGAGACCAGAACACAUGGGGGAUGAAGUGGGAUGAGAGGAAGGAGAAGAGAUGAAGGUGAAAGACCACUCUGAGGUCAAGAUAAACUUUGUUAAAAUUACAUGGUGUUUCAUCUGGAUGUAUUC